UACCAUCAUUUUGGUUUCCUAUUGCUCUAG
rnacentral:piRNA from 1 species